GACGAACGCUGGCGGCGUGCUUAACACAUGCAAGUCGAACGAAAAUACCAAGCUUGCUUGGUUGAUUAGUGGCGAACGGGUGAGUAACACGUGAGUAACCUGCCCCUUACUUUCCUGGAUAACUGCUCGAAAGGGUAGCUAAUACGGGAUAUUCUGACCAGCCUGCAUGGGUUGGUUUGGAAAGGUUGUUUUUCUGGUAAGUGAUGGGCUCGCGGCCUAUCAGCUUGUUGGUGGGGUGAUGGCCUACCAAGGCUUUGACGGGUAGCCGGCCUGCGUGGGUGGAAGGUCACAAUGGGAAUGAGAUACGGCCCAGACUCCUACGGGAGGAAGCAGUGGGGAAUAUUGCACAAUGGGCGCAAGCCUGAUGCAGCGACGCCGCGUGAGGGAUGAAGGCAUUCGGGUUGUAAACCUCUUUCGUCAGGGAACAAGGCACUGCUUUUUUGGUGGUGUUGAGGGUACCUGGAUAAGAAGCGCCGGCUAACUACGUG
rnacentral:rRNA from 1 species